UUCUCCUGGCUAUAGUCCUACGAGUCCUGCAUAUUCUCCUACAAGUCCAUCCUAUUCACCCACGUCGCCUAGCUACAGCCCCACUUCUCCGAGCUACAGUCCCACCUCCCCAAGCUACAGCCCCACCUCUCCUAGUUACAGCCCCACCUCUCCAAGCUAUAGCCCGACUUCCCCAAGCUAUAGUCCAACUUCGCCAGUUUAUAGCGCUUAUAGCCCCACUUCACCGGCCUAUAGCCCCACCUCACCAUCUUACAGCCCUACAUCCCCUUCUUACAGCCCAACUUCCCCUUCAUACAGCCCAACAUCACCAUCCUACAGCCCAACAUCUCCAUCAUACAGCCCUACCUCCCCAGCGUAUAGCCCAACAUCCCCUGGCUAUAGCCCAACCUCACCAAGCUACAGCCCGACAUCACCAAGCUACGGUCCUACUUCUCCAAGUUACAAUCCACAGUCAGCCAAAUACAGUCCUUCACUUGCAUACUCACCUAGUAGUCCAAGGUUGUCACCUUCUAGUCCAUAUAGUCCUACAUCACCAAAUUACAGGUAAGUGAUGGUUCUAAAUGGUGGCAUGUAAUGUUUUUACUGAUGUAAGCAUUUGCAUGUAAUAGUUGCAUAAUUAUUUUCUCUUCUUGUCCUCUGAUUUUUUAAGUUUUUGCUUUUUUUGCAGCCCAACAUCACCAUCAUACUCACCUACUUCUCC
rnacentral:lncRNA from 1 species